rfam:Phytophthora infestans T30-4 supercont1.10 genomic scaffold, whole genome shotgun sequence.
GGAAGCCAGUGAAGUAAAACUCGCAAUGUCCAACGAUUCGAUGGUGGAAAACAAUCUUUCUGAUAUAUUUGCACGUCAGUCUGAGGCUUCC